GAUGAAGAACGCAGCGAAAUGCGAUACUUGGUGUGAAUUGCAGAAUCCCGUGAACCAUCGAGUCUUUGAACGCAAGUUGCGCCUCAAGCCAUUAGGUUGAGGGCACGUCUGCCUGGGCGUCACAUAUCGUUGCCUGAUGCCAGUUUCCUCGUGAUGGGUGACUGUGCAGGGCGAAUGAUGGCUUCCCGUGAGCAUUGUUGCCUCAUGGUUGGUUGAAAAUUGAGUCCUUGGUAGGGAGCGCCGUGAUAGAUGGUGGUUGGGUGACGAACGAGACCCAAUCAUGUGAGACCCCUACCGAAUUUGGCCUUCAUGACCCACAUGCGUCUUUGGAACGCUCAUGACGAGACCUCAGGUCAGGCGGGGCUACCCGCUGAGUUUAAGCAUAUCAAUAAGCGGAGGA
rnacentral:misc_RNA from 1 species